AGGAGGAGAAAGAGGAAAAGAAGGAGGAGGAAGAAGAGAAAGAGAAGGAGGGGGGAAGGAAGGAGAGAAUAAGGAGGAGGAGGAAAAGGAGAAGCAGGGCAGGCGCUGGGGAGGCUGCAGUGGUCGCGGCUCUGCGCGAAGAUGUGGCCGUUGGUGGCAGCGCUCCUGCUUGGCACCGUGUGCGGCGGUUCUGCACAGCUGACAUUUAAUUCAACCAGAUUUGUAGAAGAAACUAUUUGCAAUGAAACUGUUGUUCUUCCCUGCAUUGUUAAUAAUCUAGAAAUAAGGAAAAUUGAAGUCAUGUAUGUAAAAUGGAAACACAAAGGAAAAGAAAUUUUUACAUUCAGUGGAGAGCAAAAGAAGCACAAUGCCAGUGAUAAUUUUAAAAGUGCAACAAUUCCAUUUUCACUCUUAGUAGAAGGAAAUGCUUCUUUGCUAAUGAAAAAGAGUGAUGCUAUCCCUGGGAAUUAUAGCUGUGAAGUUACAGAAUCGAACAGAGAAGGAGAAACAACAGUGGAACUAAAGUAUCAUGUGGUUUCAUGGUUUUAUCCAAAAGAAAACAUUCUCAUCGUUAUCUUCCCGAUUUUGGCUAUACUGCUUUCCUGGGGUCAAUUCGGUAUUGUGACACUUAAAUAUAAAUCCAACUGUACAAGUGAGAAAACUAUUGGAUUAAUUAUUGCUGGAUUAGCCCUUACUGUGGUAGUUAUUGUUGGGGCUGUUCUCUUUGUACCAGGUGAAUAUUCAGUAAAGAAUGCUGCUGGACUUGGUUUAAUUGUAAUCCCUACUGUGACAUUAGUGCUACUCCAAUAUUGCGUAUUUAUGACAGCUUUUGGGAUGACUCUCUUUGCCAUUGGUAUAUUGAUUCUGCAGUUAUUGGGUUACAUAUUUGCUGUCAUUGGACUAAGCCUGUGUAUUACAAAAUGUUCUCCUAUGCAGGGCCCUCUCAUGAUUUCAGGCUUGGGUAUCAUUGCCCUUGCAGAAUUGCUCGGUCUAGUUUACAUGAAAUUUGUGGAGUUGAGAGGCACUCCUUCGGUCAAUUGAUGUGCAAGAAGAAAAAAGCUUCCAAUCAGAAGACUAUACCACCGUCUAGGAAAGCUGUAGAGGAACCCCUUAAUGCGUUUAAAGAGUCAAAAGGAAUGAUGAAUGAUGAGUAAUUGAAAAGGAAUGAUGAACUCUAAUUUGGAGGAUAGUAGAUGUGAAUGGAAUAUACUUGUGCUCAGACACCAUGGCCUGGAUUCAUUAUCUGAAGAGAAGAAAAGAAGGAAAUUCACUGGUUUGCAUCUGGGGGGGGGGGGGACCCACCACCACCACCCUUAAACAGUCGCUAUGGUUAAGUUUAUAUUCAAAACAGCUAUAAUUUAAUUAAUUAAAAAAUUUAUGGAGAUGUAUAUUGUAUUGCCCAAUUGAAACUAGUUUUGGGGGAAUCAUAUUGUUCAGUAGGGAUUAAGGUAGAAGUUGUACCUUUCCAGAAUGUUACCUUUAUCAAACUCCAUGUCUUUACUUCCUGUAAUUUGCUGAAUUUUUAAAAUAUUGGUCAAAGGUGAAAUUUACCCUGUACCAGUUGGUGGCUGCUCCAAGACAUCUGUGAAACAUAAAAACCAAUGGUUUCCUUCUAACUUUGAAGAAUAGAAUUCCCAGGAGCAUAUUUCACAGGCAGUGUUUAUUGGGUCACAGAAUAUUUCUGCUACUUCUGGGUCAAGAGAAAUAGAUCUUUUAAAGUCAAGUCAAAGUAUGUUACGUCUUGCAUUGCCACCUAGCAUCUGUCAUAUGUUUAUCUGUGUGGAUAGAGGCCUUCAUUCUGGAGGGAUUACCGCUCUUGCAUCUUCACUAAAUGGGAAAUGCAGUAGUCAGAACCUUCUCUAGAUUUGGGGUGUUAACUAAGGCCCUGCAGCUUAACCUUGUGAUUUUCUCUUGAUGUUUGGUUUUUGUUUUUCUUUGUCCCCACAACCUUUGAAAUCCUGUCUUGUCCUCCUGUUAAUUGCUUCUGUCUUACAAGAUGUUGAGUCUUUCCUCUUCCUUGAACCAGGUUCUGUGACAUACUCCAAUCUAGUUGCUGAAAGGAAUGGAUCUUGUUCCCAGAGCACUGCUUUCCAGUCUUAAUUUUUUGGCAAAAAUAAAAUCAGCAUCCCAAGGGUAUCAUCCAGUGUUAUUUCACUUAGUUUUUGGUCUGGGGCAUGAAAAACCAAGAUUGAGACUUGAGCUUUGAUCUCCUGCAUGGCAGUACAGUCUAGUGCAUCACCAUCAGGCCAGCUUCUCCAGAGGGCCUUUUUUAAAACUAUUGUUGUAUCUAUGUUGCAUGGAAAAACAACUCAUCAACACCAUCCUCUUGUAUUCCCUCCUCAACCUCUCCCUUCUCUAAGACUAAAACCUUAAAAAAACACACACAAAAUCCUUUCCUGCCCUGGUUUGAAGUUUACCAUUAUGGCAGCUGUGAUUGCCUGUACUUUUAGAUUAUUAGCACUCGUUUUUACCUUGUUCAUGUGUCUGUGAGUUGAGGGUGUGUGUCUGUGAGGGUAUGUGUGUCUGUGUGUCUGUGUGUUUGUGUGAUAGGCACAUGCUUGUUUCAUGUGGACAAUUGGGGUGAACACAGAGCAAAUAAUUGAUUUUCUACUUUCAGUAAUAAUUUAAAACAAAGGUAUUUAAUUAGGUAGAACUGAUCAUUAAAAUAAUUUGGUUAUUAAAAAAAAAAAGUCAGUUGUCCAGCUUUGUGCUCAUCAGUACCCUUGAGUACCAGCCAUUUUCCCCAUUUGUAUAAUACAGCAGUCAUAUAUGUGGUUGCAUUGAUGAUAGUUAUUUCUUAGUCCACCGAAUGUUCCCAUGUGCCUCUUUUGUAUGCUAGUUCAAUACUACUCAACUUAAUUUUCAUAUUUCAUGUUGGGACCAAGUGGUUUGUCUUUGACAAACCAAAAUUUAAUGACCUUUUGAUGCCUCAAAAAAAUCAAGAUACUUUUUACAAAGCCAGCUCUAUUUUUCUUUUAUACUUUUGUCAUUUUUCCUUCCCACUCUUUGUGGUGUUAUUCAAAAUAUUGGCUUAAAUAGAGGAGCUAGGUUACAGGAAGUCCAUCAAUUCCUGCCGCUCUUCUUUCCCCUGAAUUAUUUCUACUUUGGGAGUAUAAAGGGGGAAUUCAUGUUGAUAAAACUGAAAAAUAGCUAAAGCAGAUGAAAUUGCAAAAGUUCAAAUCUCUAUUUUUUAAAAGAAUAGCCAGGUAUGAGGAUUUUUCCAAUGAAUUCCUCACUAAACUGCCAUUGUCCUCUUUUUUUUCUUUUUUUUUUAAAUAUAGUGAACUCUCAAUAUUUCAGGGACAGUUAUGCAGGAAGUAUCCUUAUUUUUGUAUUCUCCCUAUUUCUAUCUGCCUUUGGGGCUUUUCACUGCCACCAAAGCAACUCCAUCAGAAAGUGGCAGCCAGAAGAUUGUGAAGAGGAAAUUAAUUGAAUUAGUCAUGUUUCUCUAAGGCAUGUAAUAUAAUGGUUAGCACAUCGGUGCUUAAUAAAUGCUUGCUUACUGAUUCUCGAGCAGCUCUGGAAGAAGUUUGACCAGGGGGAGGACAUUGAAACCACCAGCCAGAGAAGUUUUGUGUUUUUUUUUAAUACCCAUGUAUUAAUUUUUUUACAAAAAAUUCUGUCUUCCUUAGGUUUCCAUAUUGCAUUUAUCACUUAAGUCUUUUUUAUUCCUGCCUCCAUAACAUUGUCUAGAUUUCCUUUCCUCUCUUCAUUCCUAUGUGGUCUUAACCAUAUGACAUUUGAACUACUAAAAUAUACUAAACACCUACCUUGUAUUUGUUAUUCUUAUUAGCAUUUACCAUGUUUCUAUUAUUUUUAUUAAGCACGUUACCCCUUGGAGGAAUCAUGUAGUGGAAUGAGCACUGAACUGAAAUCAUGAGAUCUCAGUUUUAGUCUGCCACUGUGUGACUAUAGGAAAGUGAUUUCCUUGAGCUUCAGAUUUUUUGCUUAUUUGUAAAAUGGGUGGGUGGGGUACAUAAAAAUAUUUGAAAUGAUUUCUGAGUUUUUUAAAUCACCUCUAAUAUAGUUUUACUCAGUUUCCCAGCAGUUUUCUUGGCUAUCUUUAGCUAUUUCCAUUUAUUUGGUCUAUAUACCUCAACAGGAAUCAUAUUUCUUGCUCAUUAUUUUGAUCAAAUUGUUCUUAAACAUCAGUUAUUUUAAUGCUUCAAAAGAUCUAAUAGUUUCUCCAACUCUCUUCACCUAUUAGUUAUUUUUUUUUUUAAUUCUUUGUCCAACCUAUCCUCAUGUACUGAUUUACUAUAUUCUUGGGUACAGUUCUUUCACUCCCUUUUCUAACCUCUAGCAUUUAAGCCCUUACUUAUGAAAUACCUUCCCCCUUUACCAGUCUUCCUCACCUGCCUAUAUACCAUCUUUCUUCUUCAGAUUCAUAAAUUCAUCAUCCCUUUUCUUUAUCUUACUAACAAAAUCCCUAUUUACUUAGUACUUAUGUAUUUAUGUCUAUACAACUAUUUAUGGAUGUACCUUGUUUUAAGUAAAUCCAAUAUAUAGAACUUCAGAAAGUAAAUAUGGAAAUUAUUCCUCUCUAAAGAAGUUCCCUUUUGGUGAAUUCAAAAUAAUUUAGUGGACAUAUCUUUAAGGUGCAGACAGAGCUGCAGCAUUUUAAAUUAUACACACCCAUACAUGCACAUACAUGUUAAGAAUAUUUUUCCUAUAUCUCCCAGUAGAUAUUUCAGGAGAAUAAACAAUCAUUUUCUUUCUUUCUUUCUCCCCAUAGUGCCUAGUUCAAUGCUUUGCACAUAGUAGAUAGUAAUUUGGGUUGGUAAUCAAGAGUUGGCUAUAAUUGAAAUUUUUCCCCCCUCAGACUUAUUAUAAGAGUUUUUUUUCUAUUGACAAGUUUUGUGUUAUGGAAAUCUUAAAAGGUGAUUUUUUUUUUUUUUAACAUGAACGUUUAGGUCAAAUCCAAAAAAAGAAAAAAAUCAUUAGAAUGUUACAACUUUUUAAAAACAAGGGAGCUUUCCUGUCAUUGUGAAGGAAAUGAACAACUCCUUUUAGUAAGAGGCCAAUUUCAAAGCACUUAAAUAAUCCCCUUGAGGUCUGAGAGAGUGGUGGUAGAGUCCCAUCUCAUUCUUUCCAAAUUCUCUUCACUUUUCUAACAAUAACAACAACAAAAAAGAAUUAGUGGUACUUACUGUUGGUCUCUGUGAAAAAAAUGCUACAUAUAUCCACCAUUCAUUCAUCUGUUUGUGAAAACCAGGAAAAAAAUAUGUGUAGGGCAGCUCUAUAUGAUUUUUAUUUGUGUUUUGUUCAGUGUUUUUUUUGUUGUUGUUUUUGCAAUGUCUGCUGUGUUUAUGUGCAUAUUAUAGGGAAAGAUAGCAAAUAGCAAUCAUCUACUAUUCCUCCCAAGCCCAUUUAGAUCCUGAGUUUGGCUGUUCUCAUAUGUCAGUGAAUAUAAUCCAAUUAAUCCAUGGAAGGAGACAGCAAUAAACAGGAAGUUUUUCUGAUGCUAAAAUGUUAGUACCUGCCUUAUAUGGGGGAGCAUGUGCCUGAGGCUCUUGAUCAUAAUAGCUAUAUACUCUGGCUUUAUUUAAAAUGUUUCUCACAAAUUCAGACUUUUCAAAAGAAAAUCACCUUUAAUGGACUUCCUUGUAAGGCAACAGCAGUGGAACCUUAAAGUCUUGUGAUAGGGGUUGGUGAGGACGAGAAGCAGAUUUUUAUUUUUAAUUAAAUGAAGCAUCAUUUACAAAAAGCCAUUGUCAAAAAUUGGAUCCCACGUGUUGUAAAUAUCCAUUAACCAUUCUAAAUGAAGAAAACUUCAGUUUUGCUAUGUACAAAGGCCCUUUUGGGGGCUUUUCUGUAUAGCAAUUAAAGGUGUGCUAUUUGUCAGUAGCCAUUCUUACAGUGAUUUAAAAACCAAAGUUGUUUUACAGCUAUGUUGUUACUGUCAGUUUUUUUUUCCUUUUUCUUUCUCUUUUUUUUUUGUUUUUUGUUUUUAAUAUGUAUUAAAUCAAUUUGUCGCUGUUUGAAGCUUUGAAAAUCUGCAAUCUUUGCCAAGGUAUUUUUUUUAUUUAAAAAAUAACUUUGUAAAUAUUACCCUGUAAUAUUAUAUAUACUUAAUAAAACAUUUUAAGCUGUUUUGGUGAGCUGCCUAUAUUACCGCUGUAGUGGACUACAAAAAUACAAUCAUGUGUAAUUUGAAGGGAUGUGAAUUUUCAAAGAUUUAAAUGUUGAGAACGAGACAGUGAUUGGAGGGGGAGAGUAAUGAUUAUUGAUUUAUAGAUAUCAUUUCAAAAUGUAUGAGGGAGAGUUAAUAACCAAGGUGAAUCUCCGUUCUCAUAAACAUAAUGUAUGUAUUUACUACAUUACCUCAUUAUAGUUGAAUGUGUGAUGCUUAUAUUUGCUGCAUUAUAAAAAUGGCAAUGUUUUUGAUCAUGUUCCUAAAAUAAAGUAUUUUGAAGAUCAAA